AACGUAGGUGGCGAGCGUUAUCCGGAUUUACUGGGCGUAAAGCGUGUGCAGGCGGGGAACCAAGUGGGGUAUGAAAUCGCCCGGCUAAACCGGGCUAGGUUAUGCCAGACUGGUUUUCUGGAGUGCGAGAGAGGGGCGUGGAAUUCCCGGUGUAGCGGUGAAAUGCGUAGAUAUCGUAAGGAAGACCAGUGGCGAAGGCGGGUCUCUGGACAGUUCCUGACACUGAGACACGAAGGCCAGGGGAGCAAACGGG
rnacentral:rRNA from 1 species